rnacentral:rRNA from 1 species
AUUGAACGCUGGCGGCAUGCCUAACACAUGCAAGUCGAGCGAGCGGCGGACGGGUGAGUCAUGCCUGGCAAUUGCCCAGUCGAGGGGGAUAACAGUUGGAAAAUACUACUAAUACCUAAUACGAUUGGUUUGCCAAGGUUGGAUUAUCUCGUUGGUGAGGUAAUGGCUCACCAAGGCUACGAUCCCUAGCUGGUCUGAGAGGAUGAUCAGCCACACUGGAACUGAGACACGGUCCAGACUCCUACGGGAGGCAGCAGUUGGGAAUAUUGCACAAUGGGGGAAACCCUGAUGCAGCCAUGCCGCGUGUGUGAAGAAGGCCUUCGGGUUGUAAAGCACUUUCAGCGAGGAGGCGUUACUCGAAGAAGAAGCACCGGCUAACUCCGUGCCAGCAGCCGCGGUAAUAC